GAUGAACGCUGGCGGCGUGCUUAACACAUGCAAGUCGAACGGAAAGGCUCCUGCUUUCAGGGGUUCUCGAGUGGCGAACGGGUGAGUAACACGUGGGUGAUCUGCCCUUCACUUCGUGAUAAGCCUGGGAAACUGGGUCUAAUACCGGAUAGGACGAUGGUUUGGAUGCCAUUGUGUAAAGUUUGUUCGGUUUGGGGUGAGCUCGCGGCCUAUCAGCUUGUUGGUGGGGUAAUGGCCUACCAAGGCGUAGACGGGUAGCCGGCCUGAGAGGGUGUACGGCCACAUUGGGACUGAGAUACGGCCCAGACUCCUACGGGAGGCAGCAGUGGGGAAUAUUGCACAAUGGGCGCAAGCCUGAUGCAGCGACGCCGCGUGGGGGAUGACGGCCUUCGGGUUGUAAACUCCUUUCGCUAGGGACGAAGCGCAAGUGACGGUACCUGGAGAAGAAGCACCGGCUAACUACGUG
rnacentral:rRNA from 1 species